rnacentral:rRNA from 1 species
GACGAACGCUGGCGGCGUGCCUAACACAUGCAAGUCGAACGGGGUUGAGGUCUUCGGACCUUAACUUAGUGGCGAACGGGUGAGUAACGCGUGAGAAACCUGCCUUUCAGUGGGGGACAACAGUUGGAAACGACUGCUAAUACCGCAUAAUGUUAUUUGGGGGCAUCCCCGAAUAACCAAAGAUUUAUUGCUGAAAGAUGGUCUCGCGUCUGAUUAGCUAGAUGGCGGGGUAACGCCCACCAUGGCGACGAUCAGUAGCCGGUCUGAGAGGAUGAACGGCCACAUUGGGACUGAGAUACGGCCCAGACUCCUACGGGAGGCAGCAGUGGGGAAUAUUGGGCAAUGGGCGCAAGCCUGACCCAGCAACGCCGCGUGAAGGAAGAAGGCUUUCGGGUGUAAACUCUUUAUGAGGGACGAUAGUGACGGUACCUCAUGAAUAAGCCACGGCUAACUACGUG